AGUGAAUAGAUACCCGGGUAGUCCACGCCCUAAACGAUGCUAACUCGAUGUUUGGUUGAAAGAUUGAGCAUCCAAAGGGAAAACCGAUAAGUUAGCCACCUGGGGAGUACGACCGCAAGGUUGAAACUCAAAGGAAUUGACGGGGGUUCCGCACAAGCGGUGGAGCAUGUGGUUUAAUUCGAUGAUACGCGAGGAACCUUACCUAGGCUAGAAUGUGAGUGACAGAUGGUGAAAGCCGUUCUUCCUUCGGGACACGAAACAAGGUGCUGCAUGGUUGUCGUCAGCCGUCGUCGUCGUAGGUAGGUU
rnacentral:rRNA from 1 species